GUAACGCUGGCCACGACCCGGAAGCUAUACACCGGCUCCCUCGACCAAUAAAGUGAGAUGAAUGCCGCAACCCCAGAGUCGGCCACAACUGGACAUAAUGGUCAGGGCAAAAUCUGCCUCUCGUCUGUCCACCCUAUGCACUACCUAUGUAUAAGACGACACCCCCCCCCCCACUUUUUAGCAUGAUUUUUAAAGAAAAAACCUAGUCUUAUACACGGAAAAGUACAGUACUUUUAGCUAAGUAUUUUUAUUUACUUACUUGAUUCGGGGCAGGCAGCUGGCACACACACACACACACACACACACACAUACACACACACACCGCCCCCCUGGCUAUGCCCAUGGUCCAGCUGGCAAUGGAGGAAUUUCUGGGGGGUGGGAAGAGAAUCUCAAGUAAGUCUAAACGAAUGAGUGGAAUGUCAUUUCAUUUCCAGGGCAUCCUUUUACUCAGGGGUAGUCAGUGUGUUGCCCUCUUGAUGCUGUUGGAAUUGCAUCUCCCACCACCCUUGUAGAUUCUCCUUCCUUGGAAGUUUUUUAGCAGAGGUUGGGUGGCUAUCUGCCAUAGAUGCUUUAGCUGAGAUUCCUGCAUUGUGGUGGGUUGGGCUAAAGGACCCUUGUGUGUCUCCUCCAACUCUUACACUUCUAUGAUUCUAUCCCUGACCCUUGGGCCAAUCUCACUGGGGCUGGUGGGAGCUGAUUUCAACAACGUCUGGGAGAUACUACGACUACGUUGGCCACUCCUGCCUUACAGGUCUGGUUUCAGCUUUUCCCAAAAUCCCUUUUAACUCUCCCCUCCCUCCUUCCACUGGCGAGGUCGGAUUUGCUUAGGCAGAUUUCCCAACGAAACGCUCCGCGUUUUGUACCUUGGUGUCGCAGGGACAGAAAGCAAUACAUAAACCCUUCUCGUGGGAAAACACAAAUGUGCAUCAGUUAACCCACCAAAGCACAACAACUAAAAAUGAAAAGGCCAGAAAGCAUUUGUCCAACCUGGACACUUCUCAUGAUUUCCCUUGAGUAAUGCCUCGUCCACUUUUCUUCAGCAGUGGGCAGGAUUGCAAGGGAGACUUUUCAAGCAGCAUCAGCCUGGCUGAGUAGCAUUUGGGCGGCACAGAAAUGCUUCUGCCCAACCACUGCCCACGAUCUAAGAGUGCUAAAAACUGCAGAGGUACAAAAAGUUGCCCUCCUAAGCAUACACAGAGGUUUUAAUUACUUGACAGCAACGACUCACUGUGUCUUUUAUCAAGGAUAACUUGUACAUAUCAUGUAUGGCAACAUAAUUUAUACAUUCAUCUUAUCUGUGGCUGUGUACAACUUAAGGCAUGGGGCGGGGAGAACCCUGGUUUUACGCUGUUAAUUGUCUCAUUGUAACGAUGCCGUUCAGUACUUUUUUAAAUAAAAAAGAACGCAUGCGAGCUAACCUCAUCUUGGGCUCCUUUUGGAGCUAUGCCUGAUUUGUAUGUACUGACUGGGAAACGAAUAAUAAACACUUGUACUAAAAUAAAAAUAAAAAAGACCUUCCGCUG